ACGGGCGGGUUCUGAAGCGGACGUCCGCACUUGGCUAAAGUGCGGACGGCGACGCAGCGGCGGCGUUCCAGGCUUGGCCGGCGGCUCGGGGAUUGGCGGACGGUUCUGGGCAGCGUUCGAGGUCGGAGGAGGUCGGAGUUGCAGGUUUCUGGGCAGCGAGCUCACCUGCAACUGCAGGUUUCUGGGCAAGGCUGCAACCACGUCGCCGGUGACUCCACCGACUGCAGACCCGUCCAUCUGACCCGUGGCGUUCGUCCGGCAAGCUCCGCCACUCCGUCGCACCCCGAGCCGAGCUGCAGCAGCGCCGUCCGCACUUUAACGAAAGUGCGGACGUCCUCUUCAGAACGCGGUCG
rnacentral:lncRNA from 1 species